GAGGCAGCAGGGAAGAUGCUACCAGUCUCUGGGGAAGGACCCCCAUGAGCACACGGAGAAGCCCAGCCAGCUCCUCGUUUUCACAGAUUCCAGACCAGGGCCCUGUCUCGGUGCUGGACUGGCUCCUCCAGUGGGGCCAUUUUCCUCCAGCACGGUGAUGUUCACUGACGCCGCAUGCUACAGGAGCCACGCUGUGCGUGGAUGGUGGGAGUACCCUGAUGGAGAAGAGAGGGGGAACACAAGCUCUGAUGAGUGGUCCCGAGAAGCGUUGUUCUCUAGCUUUGAAAAAGCAUCGCACCAAUCUAGCCACGAGGAGAGCCAAGAGUUUCUGCUUGUGAUGCCCACAGGAUCUUGGACCCUCCAAUUCCAGGGGGUAUGGUAAAGACAAACAGAACUACGUGCUAGACCUGUUAAUAGAAGAGACAAACCCUUUCCAAAGCCCUGGGAGGUCCAUGAAAUUUUGGAAGGAAUCAGCAGACUGUAGCAUUUAACUGUGUCCUGUCUGCUUAAAUUUUCCAGCUGCAUAACAUGAUAAACUUUUA
rnacentral:lncRNA from 1 species